ACCAAGGCUCACGUGCCAUCGGCACAAUCUGAUACAAGAUAGAGGAAUCUGGGUCCACCGUUAGCCCCGACGGCACCCGACAGUACGGAACAGACCAACUCUACUGUAACCACGGGCUCAGCCCCUCAGCACCAGCGUAAUCUCAACCUACACUAAUUUAAAUAUCCACAGCACACUAACAACGGUGAUACAAAAAAAAAAAUAGCUCCUGAAGCUAAUUCUGUUAACUUUUUCAAAAAAUGUCAAGUGUGGGUUUACCGAGUUUUCUCCUAAGUCAAAUUCCAGUUCAGCAUAUAAGAUUUAUCUAACAUCAGUACAU
rnacentral:lncRNA from 1 species